rnacentral:rRNA from 1 species
GAUGAACGCUGGCGGCGCGCCUAACACAUGCAAGUCGAACGAUUAAAGCACCUUCGGGUGUGUAUAAGGUGGCGAACGGCUGAGUAACACGUGGGCAACCUGCCCCUUUCAUUGGGAUAGCCACGGGAAACCGUGGAUAAUACCGAAUACUUCGAGACUUCCGCAUGGAAGACUCGAGAAAGCUCCGGCGGAGAGGGAUGGGCCCGCGGCCUGUUAGCUUGUUGGUGGGGUAACGGCCUACCAAGGCAAUGAUGGGUAGCUGGGUUGAGAGACCGACCAGCCAGAUUGGGACUGAGACACGGCCCAGACUCCUACGGGAGGCAGCAGUGGGGAAUCUUGCACAAUGGGCGAAAGCCUGAUGCAGCGACGCCGCGUGCGGGAUGAAGGCCUUCGGGUUGUAAACCGCUUUCAGCAGGGACGAGGCGAAAGUGACGGUACCUGCAGAAGAAGCCCCGGCUAACUACGU